UUUUCAUAUACAUGAACCUCUCUGCACUUUUUAGCUCUCUUGCAGUUAAAGUAGAGCCAUAUUGAUUAGUUCCAGCAUUUGCAGCCUGAAGCAAAGAGCUAGUGAGUAACCACCAUCAAGUUAUCAAUUUAAACCUGCUUAGUUGACCAGGGAGGCGUCAUGGAAAACAGCUGUCCUAAAGGGUUGCCCAGAUCUCUGUUAGGUUUUGUGUCAGCGAGAAAUAAACUUUUAUCAUGGUAAGCCACUGAGAAGACACUGGGUCUUGCUGCCCCAGUCUACCCUAGCCUGGAGAACUGAUACUUGGGGAAGCAUUAAAAAAUAGUACCUCUGGCAUAGGCACUGGUGGUUUCAAAAUAGCUACUAUAAGUGGGGGUAAAAGAGAGGCCUUUCCAGUUACUUUGCAAGGCAGCGUGGAGCCAGAACAGGAAAGAUAAAAUAGAUGCUCUGUAAUGACUGUAGCUAGCAGACUUCUUUGUGCGUACAUAUAUGUAAGGUAGCUUUUUGCACACUCCCAGAAAUAUUUAGUAGGACUUUUGGGGCUUGAGAAAGAGCGUUAUCAACAAAGGAAACUCUGCAUUAUUUAAUCUUAACAUGACUGCUUACAUCCAAAGACUGGCGACACAUGGCAUCUUUAGGUGCUAACUGAGCUGUCGGAUCGAUUUCAUUAGGGAGAGGUCACAAUUCUGUUUCCAGUUGGCAGGAAUGAUUUUAGUUCCUAUCUUCAUCCUUACUCCUUUCUUGAAGAGUAAAGUGUCACACAUUGCUCAAAUGUCUAGAAAUUUCAGGAUCGGCCGGGCGUGGUGGCUCAAGCUUGUAAUCCCAGCACUUUGGGAGGCCGAGGCGGGUGAAUCACGAGGUCAGGAGAUCGAGACCACGGUGAAACCCCGUCUCUACUAAAGAUACAAAAAAUUAGCCGGGCGUCGUGGUGGGCGCCUGUAGUCCCAGCUACUGGGAGAGGCUGAGGCAGGAGAAUGGCGUGAACCCAGGAGGUGGAGCUUGCAGUGAGCCGAGAUUGCGCCACUGCACUCCAGCCUGGGCGACAGAGCGAGACUCCGUCUCAAAAAAAAAAAAAAAAAAAAAAAAAACAAGAAAUUUCAGGAUCUCCUGGGAUUCAUGUCAGACCCCCCCUAUGUCUUUUCUGGGAUACUGUGUUUUUUUGGAGAACAUAAUUUAAUUUCAUUAUCAUAGUUUUUUUCUUGAAACUGAAUAUGGACAGGAAAAUACUUUCUGAUGCAGAUGUAUUAACAUUUGCAUGCCAAAAAGAGCUUCAGAAAUUUACAGCAUGGUUUAUACUAUACAUCAAAAUCCAUAUGACUACUUUCUAAAAUUGUGAAUUUAUUUUCAAAAAAAUAAAAAGCUCUUCAUGCGCCCCAAAUCAACAAUUCAAGACAAUUCCACAAUAGGUUGAAAAUAAGCACAAGCUUCCGUUGCUAUCUGGUCAAUCCCAUGUCCAAUCUGAAUUUGAUUAUCUGUACUUCCUUGAAAGUAGCAACAAUGAUCUUAUUGUUUCCAUGAUGUUUCAUGUUCAGCUGUUCAGAUGUUCUAUCAUAUGAGAAAGAAAACGCAAUCUUAUGGGCCGCCAGGAAUCUAAGAAGCUAUGCCUCUCAAAGCCCUUUGAUAUCUUCAAACAAUUAAUCUUGCAGCAGCUAGAAUAUAUUUUCAGUAAUGUGCCUAACUUAACUAUAUGACCAUAUUAAAAUAAAUCUCCAUGUUACUUCAAUUUCUAAAUAAAAUGGCAUGAGCAGACAGGGUAUUAAAAAUCUUGAUCAAUUCCCCCAGCAACAGGGCAGUUGCUGUUCACAUUUUACCCAAGAGCUAUCUAUGUGCCUCUUCUUCCUAGCCAACAAAAGCCCCAUCUUGUUUAGGUGGUGGGUAGGGAGCCACUGAGAUCAUAGAAGAUGGGCCCCUAUCCAAGCCCCAAGAGAAUUAAUUGCAGCUGAGCUUGUUCUGUUUUCCUUUGCCUGUGAUUGGUCUAGGAGUGGGCAUGUGGCCUAUUUCUGACCCUAUGAAGCAAAAGGAGAGGUCUGCUGGGAGACUUUCUGAAACUGCUCUUCCUGGAAGGAGGAAAACAAACAAAACAACAACCAGAGAACUUUACAAGAGGAAGCUUUUUAUCCCAGCCCCUUCCUACUCCCAUGGAAUGCAGCUCUGUUAGGACAUGAUAUUUGAAGCUGCAGUAACUGAGGUGGCAAAAGAUGGCAGAACAGAAGAGCAGACAGAAUCUGGAUCCUAGAUCACUUCAUUGCACUGCUGCAACUGCCUUCUCCAGACAGACCCCUUGCCAGAUCAGCAAGCUUCUGUCAGCAAGGAGGAGAGGACAAUGAAACUGUUUGGGUUCAGCUUGAUUUGUUUUUUGAGACAGGUGUGGCAAGGGGCUGCCAACAAGAAUUCCAGUUGCCCAUGAUGUCACAGGCUGAGGCCCACACUCCGGAGACACUGUGGACUGACUGGCACCUAUGAGCUGACCUAAUAACAGUCGCACCAUUACAGCUCCGAUUCUACAGAACAAUACAUACCCAGUUCUUAUCUAUGCUUUGCAUGUGCUCUUUGAAACACAACCCGUCCCUAAACAGAAUUCUUUACCUGUUACUGUGUCUAGAGCGUAGGGCUCAGGGAAGACAGUAAAGGACACAGACUCUGAGAAAUGAACGUGAACUAGGGCUUAGAUGAAUAAAUGGAGUGACAACAACAGUUAUAUUUUAGUGCAACUUUUGAAAAUUAAACUAAAGGAUCCAGGGGUGUGGAAGACACAAUACCAGGGUGUGAGUCAGGGGAUGAGUGCUCAAGAAUGUUCUAUGUUUCCCAAAUCCACUAUAUGAAUGGCACGACCACUUUCCCAGGCAACUCAGUCUACAACACUAGUUAGUUCUAACUUCUUACCUCCAUGCAGUCACUUCCUAAUCCCACCUCUACGGCCUCUUUUAUUAUGUCUCUCUUUUCCCUUCCCCUUCCCCUUGUCAAGCCUUCCUCCCUGCCACACUCUAGUUCCUCCUCAGCACCUCCAAGCCAGCUGAUUUGCAACAGGCUCCUAACAGAGCUUCUGACCUGCAGAAUGAGCAACACAAGCCAAAAGAUCUAGGU